rnacentral:rRNA from 1 species
UACGUAGGGUGCGAGCGUUGUCCGGAAUUAUUGGGCGUAAAGGGCUCGUAGGCGGUUUGUCGCGUCGGGAGUGAAAACACUGGGCUUAACUCAGUGCUGGCUUUCGAUACGGGCAGACUAGAGGUAUGCAGGGGAGAACGGAAUUCCUGGUGUAGCGGUGAAAUGCGCAGAUAUCAGGAGGAACACCGGUGGCGAAGGCGGUUCUCUGGCAAUGUUCUGACGCUGAGGAGCGAAAGUGUGGGGAGCGAACAGG